AGGACGAACGCUGGCGGCGCGCUUAACACAUGCAAGUCGAGCGGUAAGGCCUUUCGGGGUACACGAGCGGCGAACGGGUGAGUAACACGUGGGUGAUCUGCCCUGCACUCUGGGAUAAGCCUGGGAAACUGGGUCUAAUACCGGAUAUGACCUGCUCUCGCAUGGGGGUGGGUGGAAAGAUUUAUCGGUGCAGGAUGGGCCCGCGGCCUAUCAGCUUGUUGGUGGGGUAAUGGCCUACCAAGGCGACGACGGGUAGCCGACCUGAGAGGGUGACCGGCCACACUGGGACUGAGACACGGCCCAGACUCCUACGGGAGGCAGCAGUGGGGAAUAUUGCACAAAUGGGCGAAAAGCCUGAUGCAGCGACGCCGCGUGAGGGAUGAAAGGCCUUGGGUUGUAAACCGUACUUUCAGCAGGACGAAGCGCAAGUGACGGUACCUGCAGAAGAAGCACCGGACUAACUACGUGCCAGCAGCCGC
rnacentral:rRNA from 1 species